rnacentral:rRNA from 2 species
CAGGUAGGAUUACCCGCUGAACUUAAGCAUAUCAAUAAGCGGAGGAAAAGAAACUAACAAGGAUUCCCCUAGUAACUGCGAGUGAAGCGGGAAAAGCUCAAAUUUAAAAUCUGGCAGUCUUUGGCUGUCCGAGUUGUAAUCUAGAGAAGUGCUAUCCGCGCUGAACCGUGCAC